UUUGCCUGAGUUUUUUUAUGAUUUUUUCCCUGGUGUUACAGAUUUGGAAGAAUAGCAGAAAUGCAAAAUGUUUCUCACUACAUCUUAUCAGGAGACGUCUGAUAUCAACCCAAUUAUCAUUGGUGAUGUUAACCUUGACCACUUGACUGAGUUGUAUAUGCCAGGUUCUCCACUGUAAAAUUACCUUUUUUUUUUUUUUUCUCCUUUCCACUCUCCAUUCAUUAGAGGUGAAUCACUAAAGCUGGUCACCAUUCCAGGGAUAGGGAAUUAAGCUCUACUUCCUGAAGGGAGAAGUAUCAAAACAUUUGUGGACCUACAUUAAAAUCACUAUAUAGUUAAUGCACAUCUGUGGGGAGAUACUUGGAGGCAAUGUGUACAUCCUGUUUCUCUAAAAAGUUUCACCCACUGAUUUUAGCUUUCAGAGGGGUCUUGCCUGCUGCAACUGUUAGUGUGGCAUAGCUCUUUAUUUCUCUCAUUCUUUCUAUAUUGAUUAUUGAAGUUCUUAGAGGAAAGCCCACCCCUUCUCCUCCACGUAUGUAUUUAUCCAAUCAUUUAUUUAUAUCAGUACAGACUUAGGGCUAUUUACUUUGUUCUCUGUCAUAUAACCUGUAGUGUGCCUUUAUCCGUGGUUUUACCUUCUGAUUUCAGUUACCCGCAGUCAACCAGGGUCUGGAAACAGAUGAUUCUCCUUCUGACAUAAGGUCAGAAGGUCAAUAGUAGCCUAACGCUCUGUCACGGUGCCUACGUCAUUCACGUCACUUCACCUCAUCACGCAGGCAUUUUAUCAUCUCACAUCGUCACAAGAAGAAAGACAUCCACUGGGGAUCUUGUAUAACCCUUCCAUUGGAUAAUGGAAGGAUGAUUGCACUACCACUGUUUCAUUGUUCACAUCGUUCUAGCUUUUGCUAUGGUGCUAUGGGCAACUCUUUAAGAUGAAGAAGAGAUUCUGCCUCAAGAUGGCAGCAUCAAUUCCCGCCUGAGUUUCCAGACUGCUGGCCCACCCUACAGGUCUCAGACUUGGGAGUCCCGUGAUCACGUGAGCUAUGUACAAUCACAUACACCUGUGUGUAUGCCUGUGUAUGCACAUGUGUGUGCAUGUAUGCAUGUGAGUAUAUGUAUCUAUCUAUAUAUGUAUAUAUAAAAUCAGUGUACACAUAUAGAAUCUCCUACUGGCCCUGUUUCUAUAGAAAACGCUGACUCUUACAAACAGCAAAGAAAAGAACUCUGCUUUAUACCUAAAUUAGCUUUGUACUUAAGUUAGCUCAUUGAGCAAUGUUAAAAUUGAAUUUUUUAAUGUUUCUUUAUUAUUUUUGAGAGAGAGACAGAGAGAGAGAGCAUUCAUGGGAGGGGCAGAGACAGAGGGAAACAGGAUUUGAAGUGGGCUCAUAUUGACUCAUUGAACAGGUUUGAUUUCUUCAAAGUGUUAGGAAAUAUAGAGACACAUAUUAAUUGUUAGCAUAAAAUAUUUUUGUAAGGGUCAUGGAAAAAUGAGUAUAAAGGUUAAUUUUACCUAAUUAAAGCUUUAGCAAUGUAUAAUCUUAUAUAUUUUCUUGGUCUGAUGAGCAGACACCUAGUUAGAUAUGGUAAUAUAUCCCAAAGAUAGGAUUUGGGUGCCUAAGUCAGGGCUUCAAUAAGUAUUUAAAUAUGAAUAUUAAUCAGUGAGAUUGGUGAUUUUCUCUUGACGACAAACAAUACAGUGAGUUAUUUCCUCUCUUCCCUUUGACUGUGUCUCUUCUCUCCUUAAAAGACACAAGUCACCUCUAAAUUUUUAGUAAAUAUGCUAUGAUUGAAGAAUCCAUGUGGUACCAAGGAACUUAUGUUUAUGUGUAGAAAUAUCUUAAUAUUACACAUAGUAAACCCCUUUUACACUGAUACAUUAUUCUCACAGCUAAUUUCAGGGCUCCACUGAAAAAAUUUUUUUAACGUUAAUUUAUUUUUGAGACUGAGAGAGACAGAGCA